GCCGAAGUGGCGGAAUUGGUAGACGCGCCGGACUCAAAAUCCGGUCUGGCUCACCCCAGGUGGGGGUUCGAGUCCCCCCUUCGGCACCA
rnacentral:tRNA from 1 species